UGCUAAAGUGAACAAACAUUUAAAAACUAAAUUGUAAUUACGGUUAUUUUAAAUCAUUGCUCCCUUCAUCCCAACAACACUAUCAGGAGGUGCGUGGUAGAACACCAGGCAUGUGCGUGUUCUCCCCAUGGAGGCGGUGGAGAGACAGGACAGGCUGCAGGAGGAGGUAAUGAGUAACUGCUCCUGCCAAGUGCUCCCUGCUUCCUGAAGGGGAAUGCUGUGGGUCUCCAUCCGCCAUACCAGCUAUGGCUUGCUGAUAUUGACACAGCCCUCAUCUCUCCUUCUAAACUCCAGGCCAAAGACAGAGUCUCAGGGCCCGGGACCCUCACCAUGUGGUUCGCUUUGGACAGAAAGAAAGGUGAAGCCACUAUGCACUGUGCUUUCCUUGACACACAAGCUGUGGGCAGGGACCCAAGGACAUCAAUUCACAGAGCAGCUGCACACGAGGGGCAUUUUGUCACAAAAAUGGUGUCUGACAGUCUGACAUUUUGUUGAGGGCCAUCAAAAGGGGACAUGUUCAUUCUUGUUUUGUUAAAAACUUUUGAAAGGAGAGGACUUAUAUGAAAAGAACAAUUCUCAGGAAAGACAUUGUUGCCAGCAGUUGAGAGCAUCCUGUAAUAAACUGCGGGAGUUAAAGGUGAUGUCAAAGG
rnacentral:lncRNA from 1 species